ensembl:lncRNA
CGACGAUGGGCGGGGCGAGGGGUGGGGUCCGUGCCCCACGUGCUGGCGGGAAGGAGGGGUGGGGGAGCUCUUUGUUCUCGCGCUGCUCGCCUGAGCGGGCGGUUUUGUGCUCUCUUUGCCCGUCUGUCUAGCUGAGUGGGCAGCGGGGCUGGAGUUUGAGGUGCUCCGGCCGCCGCCUCACAGUGACUGGGGAGAGGAAGGAGGCGAGGGGCCCGACGGGAGCGGGGAGGAGCCUCGCGUCUCAGUGCUGCUGAGUUUGAAUCAGUUCGAAAGUGGGAGCUGUAACGGUUUUAACAGUCGUGCUGCUGCUUCCGCGCGCGGCAGAGAGGGGAGGGGACGGGACGAGACGGAGAACUGUGGGAGAGGCGCGACUGCGACCAGGCGGGAAGAGCCAGGCGGGGAUGGGGGGGUGGUGCUGGCAGGAGCUGCUUACCUCAGCAGGGUCCGCUCCCUGCCUGUCGUUUCCGCGGUAGGCUCUCCUUCCCGGCCUCGCGCCGUGCCGAGUGUUGCCUGGCUGAGUCACUAACCAGAGUACGUGAUGCAUCCUCCUGCCAUGUCAUCCGACCUUUGUGCACCCAAACCUAGCACGCAUCUGCCUUUUUGUUUCAUGCAGUUCCUUACGAUUUUUGGUGCCUUGCUGUUCUGCACCCAGCAUGGAUUUUUCGCUGUCAAAAUCCCAUUGUGUCCCAUCUUGGCAAUGGUGGUAAAUUACAGCAACAGCAAGGUGCCCGUUCUGCAUACGGCUGGGAUCCUGUUGCUAGUGGUAUGCUGUCUCCAGCUUAAGGUUGCUACCAUUUUCCCCUGUUUCUAUUCUGCGACCCACGCUCAGUCACGUUGACAAGGAUGUACUUAAAAUCUCAAGGAUUCAUUCCUCUUUAGCCUUCUGUUGUCUCACUGUUUGGCUGCUGCAGCCCUUCUUUGUUGAUGAAAGACAAAAUUGCCAAGAUAAUUUUCCCACCAUGAUCUUUCAUCCACACUUGUAACCAUCUCUCCUUUCUGUGCCUCCUGUGUUAAGCACUACUUCUGAGGUAGAACAGAUUGUGAGCCUUGUCCUCUCACUGUCUGUUCCCAAUAUUUCUCAUUUGUGAGUAUUGCCUUCCUUUGUGAAUCACUUGUGACACCUUCAACUACGGUCUCAUCUUUGUGUGAAGCCCAAAAAUAAGCACUGUCCACCAUGACGGAGUUCUGAGUGAUAAAAAUCCUGUGACAGAAGAUCACUAACACAGCUUCAUUCCUAAAUCUUUCAGCUGUGUUAUAGGCCAAAUGAGGCUCAGAGUUCUUUUAAUGCGGAACAGAAAUGUUUUCUUAUGUUUACAUGUCACAGAAUGAUAUAUUGUCAUACUCUUUCUCUGCUUUUACUAGAGUAGGUGUAUGGGAACUGUUGAAUCACGGCCUGAACCUCUGAUUGACCCCCUGAGGCGUGUGCUGAGUCAGCUGCAGGGGCACAGGUGAAUGCAAUUGGCUCCACCCCUCCUAGACCCCAUUUAAGGGCUGACUCAGAAGGAGGAAGGCUCUCUACCUGGAGAUUACUCCUCUUGGAGCCCUUCUGUGAGCCCAAGACAUGGGGAGAGAAAGAGGAUGCACACCCUGCCUUUUUUACACCUUACCACUGCAUUGCCCUACAAGCAAAGCCUUUUGUACUGAAAAUAAUAUCCAGUAGGAUGUUCAGAAGCAAAACUGGCAGUUAAACAAGCCCAGGCAUUGGGUAUAUUUGAUCCUACCCUCCCAGACGAAUUGGAUGUUCAUGUCACUCAGGAUGGCUUUGGCUGGGGCCUGUGACAACACUAGAGUUCUGUUUGGACACCCAUUGGAUUCUGGUCCCAGGUCUGGCACGGAGCUGAAGAAAGAUAUAGUAUGACUGAAAAACAGUUAUUGGCUGUCUACUCCGCAUCCCAGGCGGUAGAGCUGAUAACCCAAGUGGCUAAAAUCAUAGUUAAGACUACCCUGUCAGUUCUGGGGUGGGUGAAAAAUCUGACCCACCUUCCUAAGAUGGAGUGGCCCAAGCACAAUCAGUAGCAUGAUGGGUUGCCUGUCUCAGCCAGAGGAGUAGUCUGUCUUCACCACUGAUAGAACUCCAGAAGAUCCUAGGCCCAGUGACGUAUAACACUGAUGCACCAAAAAUAACAUUGGUCUCUCCACCAG